AGUGAACGCUGGCGGUAGGCCUAACACAUGCAAGUCGAACGGCAGCACAGUAAGAGCUUGCUCUUACGGGUGGCGAGUGGCGGACGGGUGAGGAAUACAUCGGAAUCUACUUUUUCGUGGGGGAUAACGUAGGGAAACUUACGCUAAUACCGCAUACGACCUACGGGUGAAAGCAGGGGAUCUUCGGACCUUGCGCGAUUGAAUGAGCCGAUGUCGGAUUAGCUAGUUGGCGGGGUAAAGGCCCACCAAGGCGACGAUCCGUAGCUGGUCUGAGAGGAUGAUCAGCCACACUGGAACUGAGACACGGUCCAGACUCCUACGGGAGGCAGCAGUGGGGAAUAUUGGACAAAGGGCGCAAGCCUGAUCCAGCCAUACCGCGUGGGUGAAGAAGGCCUUCGGGUUGUAAAGCCCUUUUGUUGGGAAAGGAAAGCAGCAGGUUAAUACCCCGCUGUUCUGACGGUACCCAAAGAAUAAGCACCGGCUAACUUCGUG
rnacentral:rRNA from 1 species